rnacentral:tRNA from 2 species
UAGGGAGACCUACCCGCAUUGAAGCUUGAACACAAUCUGUUAUUAGAGCCAAUGUUGGUCAUCCCAAGGUCGUUCGAAGGAUAGUGUUGGCUUUCAAACUAGCUAGGUUUGGUUUAUGGGCUAUUAGCUCAGGUGGUUAGAGCGCACCCCUGAUAAGGGUGAGGUCCCUGGUUCGAGUCCAGGAUGGCCCACCUUUGAGAGCGGUCAACCAUCAGUUUUUGACUUUAUUCUGAUUGAAGUUGAGAGCUGAGCGUCGGCAGCUUUUCUGGGGGUUUAGCUCAGUUGGUAGAGCGCCUGCUUUGCAAGCAGGAUGUCAGCGGUUCGAGUCCGCUAACCUCCACUGGGUUAACUGUUGAGAUUAGCCAAAUUAUGUGGAAGCGUUCAGCAACUCCUCUAGGUGAUUCUAGAGAGCCUGCUGGAUUGAAUUCCAGCCAGAACCUUGAAAACUGCAUAGUACUUGUCAGGUAGAAAGAGCAAUGUGUUCUUGAGUUUCCCUUCUUUAGCCUUCAAACGCUGAGUAAGAGGGAUUCUAGAGGACGUUGUAAAGUCACAGACACCAAUGAAUUUGUAAGUG